CUUCCCUGCCAUUGAGCAUCUUCCUGCACCGUCGAAGAUUAUUCUCCAGGUCCAACAUGCCGAUGUGCAUCCAAUGGUGUUAUUGACCCACCUCAUAAACAUCAACUUAUAUCAAAAGGAGGGUUUCACAUUUGAAAAAAUGGUGGGCUACCUUCUGUGCAGACUGCCAUCACAUGUCCAUGCCAGCUACAACAUCGCUUACCCAGCCAGAUGUUUAUAUGUGCUCUCGUCGAUCUUGUUCAUGCACUAGCGCUACAAUUGGAUGAGAACAAUUCAAUGUUAUAUCAAUCAAUGGUCAUUUGCUCUCCCUGCUCAUUUCAUCUAUGUUAAUGUUCAGGUACACAUUGUUUGUCCAUCUAUGUUAAUGUCCAUCUACAUUUGUUUCCUUCGGUGGAUCUCCAGCUCAGUUUCCCCUUUCCAGUCAGCGCCGCCUCUAGGGUUUCACCUUCUCACCCUCCUGAUGUCUUGUCUGGCUCUGUCCGAUCUACGUGCUGGUUGGGACAAACAGACCGUGUGCGUCCGUGUGUCUCGCCUAUGGCAUUACCGUGGUGGUUUAGAGAAUGGACCUGUCAAGCUUCUGCACAUGAUCCUCAUCGACGCUCAUGGUAACCAUGGCUAUGCAGUUGUUCCGACAGAUUUUCUUGUCACUUAUAUUGAUAUGCUGCAUGAAGGCGUGGUGUAUGAGUUCAGUCGUUUCAGCGUGAUGUCUUCAUCAUGAACCCGGUCGAUGCGUCGUUGAUGAUCCAAUUUACACAAUUUACAAUUGUGAAGAAUUUUUUCGAUCUGAACGACGUAUUUCCGGAGUGGGCAUUCAACCUGACCCCACUAAAUGAAUUACCCCUUGCAAAUGAUACUCCCCAAGCCUACAUAGAUGUUAUCUGGGUUAUCACGGCGAUUUCUCCUGUGAAAGCCACUCGGGUGCCCAAUACUCUUAGACAAGUAUUCAGGCGCCGUCUGAUCCUCUCUGACAAUAAUGGCCACGAACUUGGAAUAACCCUUUGGGGUGAGAGUGCUAUUCGAUUUAAUGGAGAGAGUGUGCAUUUCAUGGGUCAAACAGACCCGGCUAUCGUUAUCUUUGUCGGCACCACCGUUUGUAUGUAUGAAGGGUCCAAGGAAUUAUCUGGUGGAUGUGCUUGCAAAUGAUAUGUUAACCAUGAUAUACCAGAGAUAAACAUAUUUAGGAGCAGGCUCCCAGUCAUCUUCCCUGCCAUUGAGCAUCUUCCUGCACCGUCGAAGAUUAUUCUCCAGGUCCAACAUGCCGAUGUGCAUCCAAUGGUGUUAUUGACCCACCUCAUAAACAUCAACUUAUAUCAAAAGGAGGGUUUCACAUUUGAAAAAAUGGUGGGCUACCUUCUGUGCAGACUGCCAUCACAUGUCCAUGCCAGCUACAACAUCGCUUACCCAGCCAGAUGUUUAUAUGUGCUCUCGUCGAUCUUGUUCAUGCACUAGCGCUACAAUUGGAUGAGAACAAUUCAAUGUUAUAUCAAUCAAUGGUCAUUUGCUCUCCCUGCUCAUUUCAUCUAUGUUAAUGUUCAGGUACACAUUGUUUGUCCUUGCGAAAGAUCGAAGUGGAGAGGCUGAAUUUGAAUUGUUUGGCACAAAGGCUCAACAAAUCAUCGAUCGAUCUGCUAGCCAGGUCCUUCGCAACAGCACUCACAUGGCCCUGCUAUUCCCAAUGUUCAUGUAGUGGCCUCAAUGCUAAGGAAAACCCCGCCUGAACUCAGUGGUCUCCUUUCCAUGAGAUGUAAGUUUGUUGUUCGUGCAUCGCCUGAAAGUUUCUUCGGAAGGUGGCCGAUGUUCCAUGUCGAUGCUAUUGAGUCCUUUGAGCCCGUCAAAUCGAACCUCUCUAUGAUAGAUUUGCUUACGCCAUCAUGAAGUGAUGCACGCAAGGAACUUCUUAUGAGAUCAGUGUGGAUGUUCCCUAGAGUUGAUUUUCGGUCUCCUGAGUGAUCUCUAGAUCUUUUGAUAAUGAACCUUUUUAUUAGUAGGAUUGUAAAUAUAUCGGUUCUGUAAACAGUAUUGUAUUAACUAUGACACUAUGGUCUUUUACCUUGGGACUAGGCUGCUGUUGAAAACAUGGUUAAAUAUAAUGUUCAUGUGCGUUUCCUUUCACUU